CGCAAGCUAACCAACCUUACUGUGUCUUGCUGUUAUAUGGAAAACUGCUUGUGCCGUGUGCAGCAUGAAAUCAGAUCGUGGUUGCAAUUAUUGUGGACUGACUUUUUUAUUAAGACAAGGUAACAAAGCCUGGAGAGCAUGAAGCAAGCAUUUGGGUAACUGCAGUCACAUUUUACAGGCAACAUUCCUCCUUCUCAACAAUUGGACUGCAUCAGUUCCUUCUAUCUCCCCGUUCGAAGAAGGUGGCGAGCGAGCUGAGAAGGGGCCAGCCUGUGCAGGGGCAUUUGGAUGGGGGAAGGGCAUGUCUGCUGGCAACGAGGGUGAGUAGAUCAGUGCGGCUCAGUGUCUGCGA